AAUUCUAUUUUAUUACAAAAAGGGACAUAGGCGAUAGAAAACAUUUUUCGUCCCCAUCCUGUAAACAGAUUAUCCACCUGCCCUCACCCACCCAUAAGCCUUCCACAGCUGGAAAGUCACGACAGAAACGUAAACUUCAGACUUUGGUUAUGUAAAAGAACCUGACUGUUUAAUGGACGCCAAAAAUAAGCUCAGGCUGCGUUCAAAAACGGCAGCUGCAGGGAACGGAUCUGGAAAUAUGGAUAAAGCCUUCAGCUAAGAGUCUCAUCUUUGGAACCCAUUUACAGCUCGUAGGGUAGGGCAACACUUUUUGUAAUGAUAGUCAUGCGACUUGCUGCAACUGCGACACAACAGUCGCACUGAAAUCCAACUUGGAAGGAUUUUUGGCGACUGUCAUGUCGCAUGUCACAGUGCGACACCAUAGACAAUCAUUACAAUACAUGUUGCGCGACAUGUCAUCGUAUAGCCCUAGCCUCACCCCAACCAUGCUGGACAUGGAUGCACCUGAUCAUACAGACUGCAAUAACGGUACAUCCACAUAGACCUGAUAUGCUGCAGACUUGCCAUUGCAAAUUUUUGUGCAGCAAAUCCACAGCAUAUUAAAAGGGAUUUUCCAAGACUUUUUUCCACUGAUGACCUAUACUGUAGACAGGUCAUCAGUAUCUGAUCGGGCAGAGGAUAGCGCAGAAAUCUGCUGGAUAGUGCAGGCAGCUCAUGGUGCAACUGCCUAGUAACCUAAAUGCAUUCUACUUAAAAGGGGUUGUUCACCACCAGGGACCCUUUUAACAGACCCCUUCCCCCAGCAUGGACCCACAUUGGUAAUCAUACCUAAGUGACCCCAGCCAGUGGGUUCCUGGGUCUCUCCCAGAUCGCGGUGACAUGUCACUGCUGCUGCCAGUCAUUGGCUGCAGUGGUCACAAGACUCACGUCAAAACGGAUGUUGAUACAGGGAGACCUGGGACCUGCAGAGCCGGAGGGGCAGAAAUGGAGCCGAAACCAAGCAGCAGGGAUCAGAUGAUUAUCACCAUGGGUCCAGCUAUUCUUGGUGGGUUUGUAGAAAAGGUCCCCGGGGUGAAAAAACCCUUUAAAGGCUUUAGGAACUGCAGCUUUAAAGGGUUC